rnacentral:rRNA from 1 species
UACGAAGGGAGCGAGCGUUGUUCGGAAUCACUGGGCGUAAAGCGUGCGUAGGCGGUUUUGUAAGACAGAAGUGAAAUCCUGGAGCUUAACUCCAGAAUUGCUUUUGUGACUGCAAGGCUUGAAUCCAGGAGAGGUUGGGGGAAUUCCGAGUGUAGAGGUGAAAUUCGCAGAUAUUCGGAGGAACACCAGUGGCGUAGGCGCCCAACUGGACUGGUAUUGACGCUGAGGCACGAAAGCGUGGGGAUCAAACAGG